rnacentral:rRNA from 1 species
AAUGAACGUUGGCGGCGUGGAUUAGGCAUGCAAGUCGAGCGACAAGGUUAAGUGGAUCCCUUCGGGGUGAAGCUUGACUGGAGGAGCGGCAAACGGGGUAGUAAUGCGUCGGAACGCACCCACAGGACCGGGAUAGCCGGGGGAAACCCCGUGUAAUACCGGAUAAUCUCUACGGAGCAAAUGGUCAGCCGCCUGUGGACCGGCCGACGUGAUACUAGGUUGUUGGUGGGGUAAUGGCCUACCAAGCCUAUGAUGUCUAGGGGGUGUGAGAGCAUGACCCCCACCACUGGGACUGAGACACUGCCCAGACACCUACGGGUGGCUG